UUUGACAGCUACACACGAUACACCGUCGAUAUCGCAACACGAUCAAACUCGUGGACAUUCUUUAUGCGACAUCUGUCUAGUGUCUAUGGAAAUCAACCUGUAUAAUAAUAUAACAGUAUCUACUUAUAAUAAAAAAGAAUAAUUUACAAAUUAAUUUUUGAGAAUCAAAAUUCUAACAUCAAUUGCUUAUAAACAAAAAUUGUAUUACAACAACUUACUAGAUAGCUGUAUCCAGAUCAAAUUUGCCAACAGAAACUACCGCAUCAAAGUGAAAGGUUGAAGACAUUUUUUUCUGCACAAUGAAAACGCAGAUCCCGAUCAUUUGUUUGUAACUAUUUAAUAAAAUGAUAUAUUAUUUUAUAUAUUAUAUACCAUAUAAUAUAAUUUUCAAUGCAUAAACAAAAUAUAUUAAU